rnacentral:rRNA from 1 species
GACGAACGCUGGCGGCGUGCUUAACACAUGCAAGUCGAACGAUGAACCCGGAGCUUGCUCCGGUGGAUUAGUGGCGAACGGGUGAGUAACACGUGAGUAACCUGCCCUUGACUCUGGGAUAACUGCGGGAAACUGUAGCUAAUACCGGAUACGACCCUCGGCGGCAUCGCCAGGGGGUGGAGAGAAUUUCGGUCAAGGAUGGACUCGCGGCCUAUCAGCUAGUUGGUGAGGUAACGGCUCACCAAGGCGACGACGGGUAGCCGGCCUGAGAGGGUGACCGGCCACACUGGGACUGAGACACGGCCCAGACUCCUACGGGGGGCAGCAGUGGGGAAUAUUGCACAAUGGGCGCAAGCCUGAUGCAGCAACGCCGCGUGAGGGAUGACGGCCUUCGGGUUGUAAACCUCUUUUACCCGGGACGAUAAUGACUGUACCGGGAGAAUAAGCCCCGGCUAACUUCGUGCCAGCCGCCGCGGUAA